rnacentral:rRNA from 1 species
GAUCAUGGCUCAGGACGAACGCUGGCUGCGUGCUUAACACAUGCAAGUCGAACGCUGAAGCCGACAGCUUGCUGUUGGUGGAUGAGUGGCGAACGGGUGAGUAACACGUGAGUAACCUGCCCCUGAUUUCGGGAUAAGCCUGGGAAACUGGGUCUAAUACCGGAUAUGACCUCCUGACGCAUGUUGGGUGGUGGAAAGUUUUUCGAUCGGGGAUGGGCUCGCGGCCUAUCAGCUUGUUGGUGGGGUAAUGGCCUACCAAGGCGACGACGGGUAGCCGGCCUGAGAGGGCGACCGGCCACACUGGGACUGAGAG